CCUACGGGAGGCAGCAGUGGGGAAUAUUUCACAAUGGGGGGAACCCUGAUGCAGCAACGCCGCGUGGGUGAAGAAGUACUUCGGUAUGUAAAGCCCUGUCAGCAGGGAAGAAAAUGACGGUACCUGACCAAGAAGCCCCGGCUAACUACGUGCCAGCAGCCGCGGUAAUACGUAGGGGGCAAGCGUUAUCCGGAUUUACUGGGUGUAAAGGGAGCGUAGACGGCAAGGCAAGUCUGGAGUGAAGGCCCGUGGCUCAACCACGGGACUGCUUUGGAAACGGUGUUGCUGGAGUGCAGGAGGGGUAAGCGGAAUUCCUAGUGUAGCGGUGAAAUGCGUAGAUAUUAGGAGGAACACCGGUGGCGAAGGCGGCUUACUGGACUGUAACUGACGUUGAGGCUCGAAGGCGUGGGGAGCAAACAGGAUUAGAUACCCGGGUAGUC
rnacentral:rRNA from 1 species